rnacentral:rRNA from 1 species
UACGUAGGUGGCAAGCGUUAUCCGGAUUUACUGGGUGUAAAGGGAGCGUAGACGGCAGAGCAAGUCCGGAGUGAAAGCCCGGGGCCCAACCCCGGGACUGCUCUGGAAACUGUUAAGCUGGAGUGCGGGAGAGGGUGGCGGAAUUCCAGGUGUAGGAGUGAAAUCCGUAGAUAUCUGGAGGAACAUCAGUGGCGAAGGCGGCCACCUGGACCGGUAUUGACGCUGAGGCGCGAAAGCGUGGGGAGCAAACAGG